rnacentral:rRNA from 1 species
GACGAACGCUGGCGGCGUGCUUAACACAUGCAAGUCGAACGGAAAGGCCUGCUUUCCCUUGUGGAUUGCGGGUACUCGAGUGGCGAACGGGUGAGUAACACGUGAGUGAUCUGCCCCCAACUUGGGUAUAAGCCUGGGAAACUGGGUCUAAUUCCCGAUAGGACUGCAGGGUGGUGCCUGUGGUGGAAAACGAUUUUCUAGUGGUUGGGGAUGAGCUCGCGGCCUAUCAGCUUGUUGGUGGGGUAAUGGCCUACCAAGGCGGCGACGGGUAGCCGGCCUGAGGGGGUGGACGGGCACAUUGGGACUGAGCUACGGCCCAGACUCCUACGGGAGGCAGCAGUGGGGAAUAUUGGACAAUGGGCGGAAGCCUGAUGCAGCGACGCCGCGUGGGGGAUGACGGCCUUCGGGUGGUAAACUCCUUUCGACCGCGAGGAAGCCACCUGGUUGGAAGGGUGGUGACGGUAGUGGUAGAAGAAGCACCGGCUAACUACGUG